rnacentral:lncRNA from 1 species
AACUUUUUCUUAAUUUUUUGGCUUGCUGCCUCCGGACUGGUUUAUGCUUGUGUAUUUGAGACAACACCUGGACACUUUUGAUUGAAUCAAACGUAGUUGUGAUCCUUAAGGGAUCUGAGUGUGAUAUUUAGUUGCUUUUAUGUAAAAAAUCCAUAAAACCCUAAAUACCAGAAUUCUUAGGUGGGAUAUUUAAGAUAUCAUUAGCAUACAUUCAUAGUAAUUCUAU